rnacentral:rRNA from 1 species
AGAGUUUGAUCAUGGCUCAGAUUGAACGCUGGCGGCAGGCCUAACACAUGCAAGUCGAACGGUAACAGGAAACAGCUUGCUGUUUCGCUGACGAGUGGCGGACGGGUGAGUAAUGUCUGGGAAACUGCCUGGUGGAGGGGGACAACUACUGGAAACGGUAGCUAAUACCGCAUAACGUCGCAAGACCAAAGAGGGGGACCUUCGGGCCUCUUGCCAUCAGAUGUGCCCAGAUGGGAUUAGCUAGUAGGUGGGGUAACGGCUCACCUAGGCGACGAUCCCUAGCUGGUCUGAGAGGAUGACCAGCCACACUGGAACUGAGACACGGUCCAGACUCCUACGGGAGGCAGCAGUGGGGAAUAUUGCACAAUGGGCGCAAGCCUGAUGCAGCCAUGCCGCGUGUAUGAAGAAGGCCUUCGGGUUGUAAAGUACUUUCAGCGGGGAGGAAGGGAGUAAAGUUAAUACCUUUGCUCAUUGACGUUACCCGCAGAAGAAGCACCGGCUAACUCCGUGCCAGCAGCCGCGGUAAUACGGAGGGUGCAAGCGUUAAUCGGAAUUACUGGGCGUAAAGCGCACGCAGGCGGUUUGUUAAGUCAGAUGUGGAAUCCCCGGGCUAAACCUGGGAACUGCAUCUGAUACUGGCAAGCUUGAGUCUCGUAGAGGGGGGUAGAAUUCCAGGUGUAGCGGUGAAAUGCGUAGAGAUCUGGAGGAAUACCGGUGGCGAAGGCGGCCCCCUGGACGAAGACUGACGCUCAGGUGCGAAAGCGUGGGGAGCAAACAGGAUUAGAUACCCUGGUAGUCCACGCCGUAAACGAUGUCGACUUGGAGGUUGUGCCCUUGAGGCGUGGCUUCCGGAGCUAACGCGUUAAGUCGACCGCCUGGGGAGUACGGCCGCAAGGUUAAAACUCAAAUGAAUUGACGGGGGCCCGCACAAGCGGUGGAGCAUGUGGUUUAAUUCGAUGCAACGCGAAGAACCUUACCUGGUCUUGACAUCCACGGAAGUUUUCAGAGAUGAGAAUGUGCCUUCGGGAACCGUGAGACAGGUGCUGCAUGGCUGUCGUCAGCUCGUGUUGUGAAAUGUUGGGUUAAGUCCCGCAACGAGCGCAACCCUUAUCCUUUGUUGCCAGCGGUCCGGCCGGGAACUCAAAGGAGACUGCCAGUGAUAAACUGGAGGAAGGUGGGGAUGACGUCAAGUCAUCAUGGCCCUUACGACCAGGGCUACACACGUGCUACAAUGGCGCAUACAAAGAGAAGCGACCUCGCGAGAGCAAGCGGACCUCAUAAAGUGCGUCGUAGUCCGGAUUGGAGUCUGCAACUCGACUCCAUGAAGUUGGAAUCGCUAGUAAUCGUGGAUCAGAAUGCCACGGUGAAUACGUUCCCGGGCCUUGUACACACCGCCCGUCACACCAUGGGAGUGGGUUGCAAAAGAAGUAGGUAGCUUAACCUUCGGGAGGGCGCUUACCACUUUGUGAUUCAUGACUGGGGUGAAGUCGUAACAAGGUAACCGUAGGGGAACCUGCGGUUG